rnacentral:rRNA from 1 species
UACGUAGGUGGCAAGCGUUGUCCGGAUUUACUGGGCGUAAAGAGCGCGCAGGCGGCCGAGUAAGUCGAAUGUGAAAGCCCCCGGCUCAACUGGGGGAAGGUCAUUCGAUACUGUUCGGCUUGAAGAUAGGAGAGGGAAGCGGAAUUUCAGGUGUAGUGGUGAAAUGCGUAGAUAUCUGAAGGAACACCAGUGGCGAAGGCGGCUUUCUGGCCUAUUCUUGACGCUGAGACGCGAAAGCUAGGGGAGCGAACGGGG